GUGCCAUCGUGCUGACUGGUGAGGAUGUGGACCCUGCCUGUGUCAAUGGAUUUCCACCAAAGCAAUGGACAUUGCAAGCCAUGGAGAUAAUAGUGAAGAGGACUGAGGAGGAUCAAGUCUUCCAGCUGCAGACUUGACAUCCCUCGGGACAGUUGCAUAUUCCAGGCUUCCAUGAACCAUGCCAGUGAAACAUGGACGGCAGGAAGAGCAAAGAAGCAGCAGCAACAGGAAUCCCCUCAUCUGGUAGCAUGCCAGCC